rnacentral:rRNA from 1 species
UACGUAGGGGGCAAGCGUUGUCCGGAUUUAUUGGGCGUAAAGAGCGUGUAGGCGGCCAGGUAGGUCCGCUGUGAAAACUCGAGGCUCAACCUCGAGAUGUCGGCGGAAACCAUCUGGCUAGAGUCCGGAAGAGGAGAGUGGAAUUCCUGGUGUAGCGGUGAAAUGCGCAGAUAUCAGGAAGAACACCCGUGGCGAAGGCGGCAUCCUGGACCAAUUCUGACGCUGAGGAGCGAAAGCCAGGGGAGCAAACGGG